rnacentral:hammerhead_ribozyme from 1 species
GUACUGCUGAAGAGUCCCAAACUAGGACGAAACGGCCGUCCAGUAC